rnacentral:rRNA from 1 species
UGCCGAUCUCGAAAACCUGUCCCAGUUCGGACUGGAGUCUGCAACCCGACUCCGUGAAGCUGGAUUCGCUAGUAAUCGCGCAUCAGCCAUGGCGCGGUGAAUACGUUCCCGGGCCUUGUACACACCGCCCGUCAAGCCAUGGAAGCCGGGAGUGCCUGAAGUAUGCAACCGCAAGGAGCGUCCUAAGGUAAAACCGGUGACUGGGCUAAGUCGUAACAAGGUAUC